rnacentral:lncRNA from 1 species
CACACGUACUGAACAAAGUGAAGCCAUUCCGUAAUGUCCAAAUGAAAUCCUGGUUGGCUAAAGGCAGCUGACCGGAUAUAUGGUCUGCACAAGCUUCAGUGCGGUGACUGAGCCACAGUGCAUAAUUUUUGCUUAAUUGUGGCAUGGUGCCCAAUUAAUAUAUGAAAUUUUGCCUGUCCUGCUUAGACCAAGAUGCUGGUCUGCAGUAUGUAUAAAUAAAAAGAUAAAUGAAAUUCAUCUUAUUCAAACUGCC